CAAAGAACACCCCACUUUCCAAGCAUUUGGUUCUGUCAUAUUUACACAUAAAAGCUGACCAUGACCACCGUAAAUGCCCGUGUGUCUCCUUGCUCGGAAUGAGUUUUAUCGGAGCAUCUGCCCGACAGACAAAAUGAAGGCAGUUAAUAGUCUUUCUGAUAACUUAAUGGAACCAAAGCAAAGACAAGUGACUGUCUGGGUGACCAAAUCCAAGCACCAAGAUUUAGGGCCAAUGAGCGAUGGUUGGACAAUAAAUGUGGUUUUAAAGAGACCGACAUCCAGGGGAACCUCUUCCAAACGGCAAAGCCUUGCUGAUCGUGAGGUGAAGUAGACACCUGCACAAGAGUAGUGUAUGAGUAUGUGAAUGUGCUGUUUAAAAGUGCUGCUCCAAUAAUAGGCUUCUAGUUUUUUUUUUAAUUCAAGUGCAUAGGAUUGUAAGGAUUUUUAGUAUUAUUUUUCUGCCGUAAAACUGAUCGUGCAGACCAAACAGUAAGGCCUAGAGAUGUGAAACUUGGCCAGAUGGUAGAGCUCAAUUUGGGAAGAGACUGGCAAAGACUCACCCCAAUGCUAAAUAAUUGCAAAAUAAUACGUAAUGUCUUUUUUCAUGUGUUUAAAUGCCUUAAAGUGCCACGUUUUUUUUUUUUUUUUUUUACUUGGUUACUUGCAGCAUUGUUUAGAGAUCUAUAGGUCUUUUAAUGCUAGAGAAGGACAAAUUAUUUUUAGUUUAUACACUACCAUUCAGAAGUUUGGGGUUAUCAAGUCUCUUAUGUUCA